UUGUGGGGGCGAUAGGUCUAUUGUUGUGGGGGCGAUAGGUCUGUUGUUUUGGGGGCGAUAGGUCUAUUGUUGUGGGGGCGAUAGGUCUAUUGUUGUGGGGGCGAUAGGUCUAUUGUUGUGGGGGCGAUAGGUCUAUUGUUUUGGGGACGAUAGGUCUGUUGUUUUGGGGAUGAUAGGUAUGUUGUGGGGGCGAUAGGUCUGUUGUUUAUUGAACAGGCAGGGUUCCUAAAUUAAACCCAUCUAUAAUCUCAACUUCAAUGUUAUAUACAUUAUUUACAAUGGAAUGUUGGGCUGAUGCUUAUAGACUUAAUGCCAUUGUAUACAAAAGAGUUGAAGCCUUUAGACUUAAUGCUUUUGUAUACAAAAGUAGAUUUGAGGGAAUGACAAUGAAAAAGAAGAUAGAGAAUAUUUUUUACAACAACCAUAAUAUAUGGACUCAAGGACAACACCAAUACCUAAUUCUGUCAUUCUCCCACAUUUUUUUUGUUUUUAAAUCAUUUCAGGUCAAGUAUGGCAGUGGUUCCUAAAAGGAACAAAACAUUGAUUUGUGCUUGAAUAGAAAUAUAAUUGACUUCAGUUAUGGAAAUGCUUU
rnacentral:lncRNA from 1 species